rnacentral:misc_RNA from 1 species
AAGUCGUAACAAGGUUUCCGUAGGUGAACCUGCGGAAGGAUCAUUAAAAACCCAGUAGCAAAAAAUCUACAUCCCACCUGUGCACUUAUUGAAAGGACAAACUUUUUUUCUCUCUGAUUCCUAUCUUGUAUAGGGUCAGCAGUAGAAAAACCUCUCUUGCCUGUUAUUUUGACUGAACUUUUUAAAAAAAAUUAAAUACAACUUUCAACAACGGAUCUCUUGGCUCUCG